rnacentral:rRNA from 1 species
CUCCUAUAUGUCCUGGGCCGCACGCGCACUACACUGACACAGAAAACGAGCAUUCCGCUUGCGGCCUGCGCCGAAGGGUGCGGGAAAUCUUUGAAACCUGUGUCGUGAUGGGGAUAGAUCAUUGAAAUUAUUGUCCUUGAACGAGGAAUGUCUUGUAGGCGCGUUUCAUCAGAACGCACCGAAUACGUCCCUGGUUCUUGUAUACACAGCCCGUCGUUGCCUGUAAUGGCUUGCGAGUAGAACCGUUUGGAGGUACUGGUGCUUGCAUCGGUCCGAAAUUCGGUAAUACUUGUAAGCUAGAAGAGGCAAAAGUCGUAACA